rnacentral:rRNA from 1 species
ACGCCUGCAUGAAGUCGGAAUUGCUAGUAAUCGCGGAUCAGCAUGCCGCGGUGAAUACGUUCCCGGGCCUUGUACACACCGCCCGUCACACCAUGGGAGCCGGUAAUACCCGAAGUCAGUAGUCCAACCUCGUGAGGACGCUGCCGAAGGUAGGAUUGGCGACUGGGUGAAGUCGUAACAAGGUAGC